CAGAAACUUUAUCAAAAAAUAAUAUAAGAUAUUAAAAUGAACAAAAUCUAUUGUUGGUAUACUUUAGACCAAUAAUUAUCUUUUGGAAAAAAAAAAAAACACAACUAUUUUUAGAGGAUUUGAAUGCUACAUAGGGACAGAAGGCAUUGUUCAGUUAGGUAUUUUAAAAAAUUCAGAGAUGGGUAUUGUUAGGAUAUAAAAUAGUUUUGUUGUCAUUAGCAGUAUAAUGCACUAAUAGCUGAUUUAUUUUAAAGUUAUGAUCAAGUUCUCUAUAAAACAGGGAUCAUCACUGGAGAAUGUUUUGCUUAAUCGAGUAUGGAAUACUGCAUACAGUAUAGACAUCAAAAUCAGUGAAUGAUGUCUAAAAGUGCUGAUAGCUCAUAAAAUUAGAAACACAGAAAGGAAAUACUUGUUUUUCAUAAUUUUGAAGGAGUUAGGCUUAAAAUUCUUGAGAAACAAGCAAUGAUUCCCUAUGCUUUUUAAUUUCUUUUUUUUUUUUUAUUUUAAUACCUAAGGUAGGUGCUAGAGGUUAGUACAACAGGGAACUAUGAUCAAAAUUAAAUUUCUUUUUUUUCCACUCCCUCAAAUAUCCUUUCAUUUUAAUUGAGGAGGCAAGUUUUAUUAAAUAGGAAGUACUCGCUUUCCUAAAAGUACUACAUUAUUCACCGUGGUCCAGGCUGGCAAAGAAGGGUCGUUGCACUUGCCAGUCCCUUGUAUGAGGAAAAGUGUCUGACUUAUUUGUUUCUGUGUUAAUUCAGAAGUCUUAUGCAGGCCCCAGGAUAUGGAACAGAACCACGAAAGAAAAAAGGUACAGCAUGGAGAAAGAGAUAUUUUCCUUAAUGGGACCUGGUAGAAAUGAUUUAAAGCUCAUUUACAGCCUGACAUGAUAGCUUCUGUUAUACAGCUUUCACUUCACCUAACCUAGCACAGUCAAGGAAGAGAGCAGCACAGGAAGAUUAACUGCACUGGCAAGUGACCGAAAUCCACUGCCGGACCACACAGCACAGCCAUGGCCUAUUGCAUUACCAGCCAGCAGUGUUCAGACUGGGAUUUUCUAUCUUAGCUGGUUGUACCAGCUUGUAAGUCCUGCUUACUUUUAAAGAAUUCCACCUUCUGACACAAAAUGCCACUCAGCAAGAGGGAGUCUUCAUUGGGUGAUUUCAGUCUUAAUUGAUUCAGAAUCAGUGUUCACUUGUAGUCUGUUACCUAGAGUUUCCUGUCAUGUUUUUGGGUUUUGUUUUUUUUUUUUCAGACAAGCUGCUGCUAGUUUAACUGUUAACUCACAGAGUCAACAAAAUAAGUCAUCUUUGGAUUGCAGUCUGCUAUGUGUAGUUAACAAGAGAAGACACAAAAAUAGUGAUAAUGUGAUCCAAAGGGAUAUCGAGCCUUUAUUUAAAAUUUGUAAAUACUCAACUAUUGUCAACACUUCAUUUGAAGUAGGAAUGGGCAAAAAAUGCAUUAUUUUUGGCACAUGAUUGGGCAACAUUGAUCAUUUGCGAUAUCUAUAGCAUAUGAAAGUGUUAGACCAGUUUCUGGUAAGUUACUGUGUAGUAGAUCACAUUUUGCAUUUCUAAAUAGAAAUUGAAAAUAGCAUUUUUGGAACUGUUCUAUGAAACUUUGCUUAUUGUUUUGUUUGUUUGCUUUUAUACAGCUUCAUUUUUUUCAUGUACCCAUCAGGUUAAGCAAUUAUCUUAAAAUGCCAAUAAUCGUUUGAAGGCUGGUCUGUAAAUAAAACGUGAAUUUAAUAUUUUAGAAAAUGUAAACUUUGGACCUUUACCAAUAUAUUUUUUUAAAAUGUUGCUUCAUUUUACAUUCAGUAAUAUUAGUUUGUAAACAAACUAUACAUUUUGUAUCUGUGCAACAUCAGAGGAUGUGUAUUCAUUGCAUUUUAUUGGUUCUCUUGAGGAACAUGAUAAAUGACCAUUGUUAAAAUGUUUUAUUGUAUAUGAUCACAGAUAAAGAUAGUAGGUCCAGAAUGGGAUCUACUUUUUUCUUUCUAAGAAUAUUGGUCUUGUUAUGUUUUCUUGUCUAAAACUUUGUUCACUUACUUUUUCUUAGGUGUUAAAACUGGGGUCGCUAAGCCUGCAUAAAAUAAAUCUGUUGUGAAAAGACUUCAAAAACAUAAAAAAUGAAAAACCUAAAUUUUCUCUAGGUCUCUUAAGAAGAGUGCAAGAGGUAAUUAGCUGAAAUUGCAGCAGUGAACAUUUACAUUAGACAUUUGAAGGACUUUUAAGGGGUAAAGAAUUACUAGAAUAGAAUGCCUCAGAGGUGCUGCAAUCUCUGAUAGUGGUGAUAUUCAAGAACAAGUUAGACAAACAUCUGUUAGGAAUGGUUGAAGUAUAGUUCAUUCUGCCUUGAAGCUAAGGGAUAACUGAAUAACCUCUGAAGAGGCUCUUUAACUUUGGUGUUGGGUUUUUUUUAGGUUGCUGGGGAAGUAAUAAAUGAGUGCUUGAAUGAAAGGAAAGCUUAAGGCCUACAGUUCAAAAAAUACAUAUAUUGCCCCUGACGUUUGUGCACAAGCAGUUGAAUUGUCAAUUUCAAUCGUAUGGAAAAGCAGGUUUGCAUUAAAAGACCAGCAACUGAACAUGUGAUAACACUGGAUUUUGCAUCAGUUUACAGCUGUAAGAGUUAUAUAAGAUUACAGCUCUAAGGGCUGUGUGAUGUUUGUGGCAUUUUAAAAUUGAGGCAGAUUGAUAUUCAGGGACAGAAUUCAGAGACAGAAACAGGUGCUAUUGUAACACAUGCCCUGUACAUGGCAUAAACACUUUAUGUGAGAAUUGGCCUUAAGUGAAAACAGUGGAAUUAAUCCCGCAUCAUAGGUUUCAAAAGUCACAUAGGUCUUCUACUAGUUUUGGUUGCAGAGGAGCCAGAAGAACACUGCAUUUUCCAGACAAUGAUGGUAUUGAUCACGAAGGCAAAGGCUCUGUUAUUUUUAUUAGGUUGAGAAUUUCAUUGGAGGUUUCUGCUAGAACUGUGUGUUUUAAUGAUGCAAAUUUUAUUUUUCCUUUUCCUUUUCUCCUUCCACUUCACUUCUCUUUUUUUUUUUCUGUGAAAAUUAAUAGACUUUUCUUCCCUUUCCAAAUAUCUCUAUUCCAAACAGGGCCUGGAAUAAUUUUGAAGUACUGGAAAAGGUCUUAGAAAGGAAGUGUCAAGGUAACCUUAGCUGUAUGCUAUUGUUAGUGUAUCCUAAAUUGAUCCUGUUAUAUGUAUAUGAUCUGAAAGGAUAGUAGCUUAUGUGUUCUGGGGAUCUGACUGUGAAACUCAAGUAGGUAUAACUGCUUCCUGACACUGCUGCUCAACACUUCUUUCCUGUCUUUACCAGAAGAUGCUAUGCAUAGAAGCAGAUGUAUGGCAGUUCCAAGCCAUAGCGGUUUUCCAGCAUGGUAAAAUGGCAAAGUUUUACUUUUGCUUUUAGAAGGAUGGCAAUUUCUUUUCAGAGCUCACAAGAUAGUGAGUGAGAUUCUGACCAAUUAAUGGGAAUUUUUAAUGGGAAUUUUGCUGUUGACUUUAUCGGUGCUGAACUAGCUUAAUAUUUUGUUUUCUUACAAACUUUGUUUUCUAACAAAGCUUUCAGACAAGGGACAGGUUAACAUGAAAGAAUGAUGAGUGCUAUAGAAACAUGGAUGGCUAAAAUUGCAAUAGAUAUGAAUAAAAUGGUUUUCUUUGUUUGCAGCUAAAGAAUUAAGUAACAAAAAUAUCAUGCACGGAAUUAUUCCUAAACAGACAUUUCUCUAUUUAAUGUUUUUGAAACUUAGGCCAGUGAUGUCUUUAUUAUACACAGAAUAACAAAAACUUUUAGUCUUUUGUCUCAUAUUGAACAUAUUGUGGUGGCAGGUGACCUUGGGGCUUCAGUGGAGGUCUGCGUGUAUUAAAAUUAAGCUUAGAAAUGAAUAGUUGUUUGUAUGAACAGGACUAUAUGUGUAUAUAUAUAUAUAUUUAUAUAUAUAUAUAUAAAAGUUCUGAUUAGGGUGAAAAGAAAUAUUUGAAGUAAUUGCUAUUCUGUAAUCUUAAGUGUGUGCUCUUAAAAACAGGUGUUUACUAAAGAGGAAAAUGAACAAAGAGGGCAUUGGAAAGAAUACCUUCCAGCCCUUUUCCACACUCAACCCCUCUUCUACACACAAUUCUUACCAAUAUUUAAACAAACAUUAGAAUACUAAGCAAUUCACAGCUGUGAACUUUAGUUUUCAUUUUCUGCUCUAAUAUUGCAAAGAAUAUGGUUUAGGCCUAGAGAUCAGAGUUUUAAAUGUUGAUGUCAUGUGAAAGCAAGUGCCUCAUGCUGACUUCAGUAGCAAAAUGUUGAAGUGUUCAGCUUCUAUUUGUUCGUGUAAGCUGCAGAAUACUAAAAACUCAUCAGCAUUUUGCUGUUAAGCUACCCAACCUGGAUUCUUCUGGAGAUCUGACUCUGGUUUCUAAUCCAGACAUAGCUUUAGGUGUGCCUUCUUAAUUCCAGUGAGAAAGGAUAUUUAAAUUAAUAGAAUUGGGUGGGGUACAGAAUAAUAUAUCAGGUGGUACCAGAAAGUCUACACUAAGCUUAAAAUGUAUUUUUAGAGACAGAUUAUCUAUUCUGAAGUCUUUUAUCAAAUUUUAGACACUUCUCUGUCAUACAGAAAUUGUACAUAUCUGAAAUAAAGUGCAUCUAUCACUAACAACAUUUUUUUUUUCCCUGAAAGUAAGCAUUUACAAGGAAGUACAGUACAGCAUAAUUUCACCUAGAAGGUAGAGAUAGAUAAAAAAAUAUUCAUUCUGUUAGUCCACAGAUCACAGUGGUAUGCUCAGUAAGAGAUGCACAGAAAUGUGCAUGUUUCAUUAAAAAUUCCAUUACAGCAGUUGAUCAGUCAUUUGUCUCCAUAUAGAACUAAAACAAUUAUAAUAGCAUUCAUUUCAGAGCAGAUGGAGGAUUUCCAUGAAUAGAUUUUGUUAAAUAUGUAUUGUAAUAGUUGAGACAUAUUUUCACAGGAAUGAUUUUUAAAUGUAAUAUAAGAGAUCUGGAAUAGAAUAUCUAAAAAUAGUGAUUUAUAUAAUAUUGAUAUCUUUUUGAAAGUAUUUUUCUCCACUAUCCUCUUAUAUUUUUUAUUUGCAGGCCUUACUCCUUCAGAUAUUUAUAAAGCUCUGAAACUUUAAGACCUUCAACAAUUCUGAUAGGAACAGAGCUGAGGGCUCUUUAUGACAGAAAUAGACUGAAGUCUUUCCGUUUUUCAACAAUCUGCAGCUAAGUAUCUAAUUUUAUAAAGAAAGAUAAACUUGAAAAACACGUAGACCUUCUGAAUAAAGUUGUUCCAAGUCUAAAACAUUUAUUAUUAAAGUAAAGCAUGGAUAUCAAAAGGGCUUGGUCAACAGCCUUUGAUAUCCCUGUAUCCCAGAUUCCUUGUAGGGUACAUAUGCAUAUAUUUAUAUAAAAUGUUUAUAUACCUGGGAUAUCUAUGUACAUUUAAAAGUCUGUAGCUCUUGAAAGGAUACAACAAGAUUGUAAGCCAAGAGUGGUACUAACAAUAUAUUGAAAAUCUUAGUGAAUGGAAAUUCCAAAUGUAUUUUCUUUUUCAUGAUGUUGACCACUUUGAAUAAAUAUAUAUAGGACAGUAGGAGAAUAUUGCAUACUGUGCAUGUAUUUAGAUUUAAAGCUGAAUUUUAAUGUAGAACUAAAAGAAACUACUGAAGUAUGCACUGAAUGUAGAUGGUCUUAGUGGAAUCAUAAAAUUAUGAGAAUUGUGAUAAAUGAUAAUUUCAAUUCUUUUUAAUUUAAAGACACACACAAAAAAGGCAAAAAACAUCAUGACAACAACAAAGCACACUGCUUACUUCUGUGGUUUUCUGACUUCCUCCCAGCAGUCUAUUUAUACGUUUGAGUAAUCUACAUGUACAAGCAAGUUAGCCGUGGGGAAGAUCAAUUUUUAGAAUAUUUUAGAGACAAAAAUACUGAAGUUUUCAUUCUUCACUAAUGAAGCUCCUGAUUUUUUUUCAAGGUCACAGAUACCAGAAGCAGUGCUUGUAUGAACAAAUCCUUGCAGUGGCAUUGCAGAGUACUCAGGCAAGAGGAUGUCAUCUGCUAGAAUUCCACUCUAAGAUGAAAAAUUCAUUUUUUCCUUUUGCUCUAGAAAUUGAAAUUAAAAAAAAAUGUAAACACUAAAUACCGUGUAGCUUCAGGCAGGGUUCCUCUCUGGGGGAAAUUAUCAAUUAUCUGCAGAUUUUUGGUAAUUUUAUACUUGUCAUCAGCAUAAUUGUAGUUUACAGAGUUUUCAGGACUGUGUGUCUUCAGAUGAAGAUAUUUGUCCUACUUGGCAUAUUGUCAAAGCUUGUUAAUGUGUUUCUGUUGUGUUUAAGUUUGCAUAGGCAAAGCACAGGAGAAGAGUUGGAGUAAAAGCAAGAAUAUACUGUGAAAAAUAUUCUCAAACUUACAUUUAUUCAGCUCUAGUACAAACAAAAUGCAAAUUUGUAUUUGCUAUAUGUAAAUACAGUUAUAUUUAAGAACAGCUUUUCACUUGCUUACAAAGUCAGUAGCCUCAGAUAAUGCUUGUUGUUUUGUGUAUGUUGUAUUAACCUCCAACAUUUAAAAUCUGCAUACAGAUUUUUUGUCCUGAGUGUGAGAACCAUGGAGUAUGUUUUGAUAUAUAUCUAUCACAGUAGAAGUGUCUAGUGGUAUUGACUAUGUCUAAGCAGCAUUUAAUCCCAUUUUUGUAUACUAGGGAAUCUCUUUUCCUUGUGUCCUAAAUAAGCCCAGUAUCAUUCCCCCAUUCCCAUUUCCUUUUAAAAAGGAUUAACUUUUUCCUGAGCUGUGCUUAGCACAUUAAAGAUAAUUUUUUUUUUUUCCCUCAGAUGCUGAUUACUUUGUUAAGAGGUAAAGUGAAUAGAAAGUGGCUUUUGCUGUUUAGAAAGGAAAUUUGCAAUGGAAUGUUUCUCUAAGUUUCUUUCAAAACAUUAGCAUUGGUUUUUUUUUUCCUUUUCUAUUUUAAACUUCAUUUUUUGAGAAGACAGUCUUCAUAAGGCAUAGUUUUCUGCUUAUGAAGAACUUGCUUCUGACAACUUCUUGGUGAUUCCAGGUAAAGUGUUUGCAGGUAGGCCAAUAGUCGUAUACAGAAAGAAGAAUGGAACUCACCCAACUGGUACAGGGGAUCUCUGGCUAUACAGCACUCAUCAGGAAGCAGCGUACGUCCAAAAGAUGUUCUCCUUUCAUUGUUUGGCCCUUACUUGAGCCCAUUAUGUGGCUGAUCCAUGCCCCCUGGGUCAGCCACUCUCCUUCACUAGGCUUCUCUGGCAAACUUGAAGUUUUAAAAAUGAGUGGCUUUGAUUUCCUUCCGGGUAGAACUUUUAAGAUCUCAUGUCUUUGGCUGCUGGAAGGCUGUGCAUUGCUGUUUUUCUGGAGUACUGGUGGAAAGAAACAUUCAGAUGCCUUCCGGUAGAAUAUUAGCUGUACAUUAUUGUGAACAAAAUGUUGAAACAUUGAACAUCUUCAGGUAAAAAUUUCUUUUUCCUUAAAACAUGUUUACUAAGCUGCUCAAUCUAUGCACCCAUGUAAUUGUGUUCCACUCCAUUAGAAUAAAGGGUUUAUGUCAGUUAUAAAAGUGCAAAAAUAGGUGGUUUAAAAGUGAUGUUACUAGGCUUAUCAGUCAACAGGGUUUUUUUGUGACCAUCUGGUUACAAAUGUUGAUGUUCUUAACAUAGUGCUCUCUAAAUAAGCCAAAACUUCUUUUAAAAUAUUUGAAAAUAUAUACAUGAAUUUUUUUUCAGUGUCCUGAUGUUAUACAGAGACUAUUAGCUCUUCACUCAACCAGAAAGGAUUUAAAUGGUACAUAAGGAGGACUAUAUAAUUAACAGUAAAAAUAUAUAGAUAUUUCUUUUUCUUUUCAUAUUUCCCCUUUCAUACAAGUUAUUAAAAGAAACAGGGUUGUUUAUUGUAUUUUGAUUAUAUUACCUCAUUUUUAAGAUGGUUUAUU